rnacentral:rRNA from 1 species
GACGAACGCUGGCGGCGUGCUUAACACAUGCAAGUCGAACGAUGAACCAGGGCUUGCCCUGGGAAUUAGUGGCGAACGGGUGAGUAACACGUGGGCAACCUGCCCCAGACACCGGGAUAACCAUCCGAAAGGAUGGCUAAUACCGGAUACGACCACUUUGGGCAUCCAACGGUGGUGGAAAGGAUUCUGGGUCUGGGAUGGGCCCGCGGCCUAUCAGCUAGUUGGUGGGGUAAUGGCCUACCAAGGCGACGACGGGUAGCCGGCCUGAGAGGGCGACCGGCCACACUGGGACUGAGACACGGCCCAGACUCCUACGGGAGGCAGCAGUGGGGAAUAUUGCGCAAUGGGCGAAAGCCUGACGCAGCGACGCCGCGUGAGGGACGAAGGUCUUCGGAUUGUAAACCUCUUUCAGCAGGGACGAAGCGAAAGUGACUGUACCUGCAGAAGAAGCACCGGCUAACUACGUGCCAGCAGCCGCGGUAAGGUGCGCGAGU